rnacentral:rRNA from 1 species
AUUGAACGCUGGCGGCAUGCUUUACACAUGCAAGUCGAACGGUAACAGGCCGCAAGGUGCUGACGAGUGGCGAACGGGUGAGUAAUGCAUCGGAACGUGCCCAGUCGUGGGGGAUAACGCAGCGAAAGCUGUGCUAAUACCGCAUACGAUCUAUGGAUGAAAGCGGGGGACCGUAAGGCCUCGCGCGAUUGGAGCGGCCGAUGUCAGAUUAGGUAGUUGGUGAGGUAAAGGCUCACCAAGCCGACGAUCUGUAGCUGGUCUGAGAGGACGACCAGCCACACUGGGACUGAGGCACGGCCCAGACUCCUACGGGAGGCAGCAGUGGGGAAUUUUGGACAAUGGGCGCAAGCCUGAUCCAGCAAUGCCGCGUGCAGGAUGAAGGCCUUCGGGUUGUAAACUGCUUUUGUACGGAACGAAACGGUGAGCUCUAAUACAGUUUGCUAAUGACGGUACCGUAAGAAUAAGCACCGGCUAACUACGUG